rnacentral:rRNA from 1 species
UACGUAGGGUGCAAACGUUAUCCGGAUUUACUGGGCGUAAAGAGCUCGUAGGUGGUUUUGAAAGUUGAAUAUUAAAUACCCUGGCUCAACUAGGGAAAAGUAUUCAAAACUCCAUAACUGGAGGUAUGCAGGGGAAGAUGGAACACACGGUGUAGCAGUGAUAUGCGUAGAUAUCGUGUGGAACGCCAAAGGUGAAAACAGUCUUCUGGGCAUUACCUGACACUGAGGAGCGAAAGCGUGGGGAGCGAACGGG